AUUGAACGCUAGCGGUAUGCUUAACACAUGCAAGUCGAACGGCAGCACGAGGAGCUUGCUCCUUAGUGGCGAGUGGCGGACGGGUGAGUAAUGCGUAGGAAUCUACCUUAUAGUGGGGGAUAACCCGGGGAAACUCGGGCUAAUACCGCAUAAUCUCUAAGGAGCAAAGCAGGGGACCUUCGGGCCUUGCGCUGUAAGAUGAGCCUACGUCGGAUUAGCUAGUUGGUAGGGUAAUGGCCUACCAAGGCGACGAUCCGUAGCUGGUCUGAGAGGACGAUCAGCCACACUGGGACUGAGACACGGCCCAGACUCCUACGGGAGGCAGCAGUGGGGAAUAUUGGACAAUGGGGGAAACCCUGAUCCAGCAAUACCGCGUGUGUGAAGAAGGCCUUCGGGUUGUAAAGCACUUUCAGCGGGGAAGAAAAAGCCAAGAAUAAUACACUUGGAAAUUGACGUUACCCGAAGAAGAAGCACCGGCUAACUCUGUGCCAGCCGCCGCGGUAA
rnacentral:rRNA from 1 species